UUAUCGAACGCUAUGUUGGACU
rnacentral:snRNA from 1 species